rnacentral:tRNA from 3 species
CGGGACUGGCGGGGCUCGAACCCGCAGCUCC